rnacentral:rRNA from 1 species
AACGAACGCUGGCGGCAUGCCUAACACAUGCAAGUCGAACGAGACCUUCGGGUCUAGUGGCGCACGGGUGCGUAACGCGUGGGAAUCUGCCCUUGGGUUCGGAAUAACAGUGAGAAAUUACUGCUAAUACCGGAUGAUGUCUUCGGACCAAAGAUUUAUCGCCCAGGGAUGAGCCCGCGUAGGAUUAGCUAGUUGGUGGGGUAAUGGCCUACCAAGGCGACGAUCCUUAGCUGGUCUGAGAGGAUGAUCAGCCACACUGGGACUGAGACACGGCCCAGACUCCUACGGGAGGCAGCAGUGGGGAAUAUUGGACAAUGGGCGCAAGCCUGAUACAGCAAUGCCGCGUGAGUGAUGAAGGCCUUAGGGUUGUAAAGCUCUUUUACCCGGGAUGAUAAUGACAGUACCGGGAGAAUAAGCUCCGGCUAACUCCGUG